GAUCUAGCUUGCUAGAUGCUGACGAGUGGCGCACGGGUGCGUAACGCGUAUACAAUCUACCUUUAACUGAGGGAUAGCCCAGAGAAAUUUGGAUUAAUACCUCAUAGUAUUAUAAUUAGGCAUCUUUUUAUAAUUAAAACUUCGGUGGUUAAAGAUGAGUAUGCGUACUAUUAGCUAGUUGGUAAGGUAAAAGCUUACCAAGGCAACGAUAGUUAGGGGGCCUGAAAGGGUGAUCCCCCACACUGGUACUGAGACACGGACCAGACUCCUACGGGAGGCAGCAGUGAGGAAUAUUGCACAAUGGAGGAAACUCUGAUGCAGCCAUGCCGCGUGCAGGAAGAAUGCCCUAUGGGUUGUAAACUGCUUUUAUACAAGAAGAAACCUCGGUACGUGUACCGACUUGACGGUAUUGUAUGAAUAAGCACCGACUAACUCCGUGCCAGCAGCCGCGGUAAUACGGAGGGUGCAAGCGUUAUCCGGAUUUAUUA
rnacentral:rRNA from 1 species